GAUGAACGCUGGCGGUAUGCCUAACACAUGCAAGUCGAACGGUCUCUUCGGAGAUAGUGGCGGACGGGUGAGGAACGCGUGAGAACCUGCCUCUAAGUCGGGGACAACAGUUGGAAACGACUGCUAAUACCGGAUGAGCCGAAAGGUAAAAGAUUUAUCGCUUAGAGAGGGGCUCGCGUCUGAUUAGCUAGAUGGUGGUGUAAAGGACUACCAUGGCGAUGAUCAGUAGCUGGUCUGAGAGGAUGAGCAGCCACACUGGGACUGAGACACGGCCCAGACUCCUACGGGAGGCAGCAGUGGGGAAUUUUCCGCAAUGGGCGAAAGCCUGACGGAGCAAUACCGCGUGAGGGAGGAAGGCUCUUGGGUUGUAAACCUCAAAACUUAGGGAAGAAGAAAGUGACGGUACCUAAUAUAAGCAUCGGCUAACUCCGUGCCAGCAGCCGCCGUAAAAC
rnacentral:rRNA from 1 species